rnacentral:rRNA from 1 species
AUGAAAGGAUUAGAAACUUUUAAAUUGGGAUAUAUCUGGCGAAUAGGAACAGGCGAAAAUGUCAAGAUAUGGACUGACCCUUGGGUACCAUCGAGUCCUGACAGGAGGGUAAUCUCAAGCAGAGGACCGUCUAUUCUCUCUACGGUUAGUGAUUUGAUUGAUCCCUACACCGAUGCAUGGGAUGAACCACUAAUCCGCUCUAUAUUCAAUCCUGUUGAUGUCCGAAGGAUCUUGCAAAUCCCCUUGAAUACUGCAGUGUUUGAGGACUUUAUUGCUUGGAAUCCCGAUCGGAGAGGGGUGUUUUCAGUUAGAUCGGCUUACCACAUACAAUGGUUUCAGAUUUACCGGCAGCAUGCAAAUGUCUUGGCACGUCCGUCUGGCUCAAGAUCAGCGGAAAUCUGGAGUAAAGUCUGGAAAUUGCAAGUCCCACGUAAGGUGCAGAUUUUUUGUUGGCGCGCUCUCCACGGAAUAAUUCCCUUGAAGUCAAUACUUGCAAACAGACAUGUAGGCUCUAAUGGAUCCUGUCCGAUAUGCCAUCAGGCUGCGGAAGAUGUGCGCCACCUAUUCUUUGAAUGUACACAUGCACAUGAGCUCUGGCAAAGAUUAGGCAUUGUUGAUAUCAUUGAAGAAGCUAUGACAGUGGACCGGUCGGGGUCUAUCAUUUUGGAACACCUUCUGUUGGCAGAGGACAGACCACUCCCUCUCAAACCUAGUCUUGAUGUGAAGCAGGUGCCGGCUGUUGGAUUCUGGUAUCUAUGGUGGGUUCGGCGUGAGCUAACGCAUGGAGGAGCUCCACCCCCUUCGAUGAGAUGGCCCCUCUCUGUCCUUGCUAUAGCUAAUAACUUUCAACAGAUGAACCCCAAGAAUCGUGUUAUACAGGAGCAAAGAUGGAGAAAACCAUAG